UUUAAAGUCUAAUCUGCCCCCUGAAAUUAUUUUAAAGGGCUGCGGUAUUUUAACCGUACAAAGGUAGCAUAAUAAUUAGGUUUUUGAUUGAAAUCUAGAAUGAAUGAUUGGACGAGAUACAAGCUGUUUUAUAAUAAUUAAUUAAAAUUUAAUUUUUUAGUCAAAAAGCUAAAAUUUUAUUAAAAGACGAGAAGACCCUAUAAAUCUUUAUAAUAAAUUUAUUUUAAUAAAUUAUUUUAUUUAAAUUAAUAAUUUUAAUAUUAAAUUAUUUUAUUGGGGUGAUACAAAAAUUUAAUUAACUUUUUUAUUAAAAUUUCUUAAAUUAAAGAUUUAUAAAAAUAUGAUCUAUUAUUAAUAAUUCAGAGAGUAAGAUACUUUAGGGAUAACAGCGUAAUUUUAAUUUUAAGUUCUUAUUAAAAUUAAAGAUUGCGACCUCGAUGUUGGAUUAAAAUUUAAUUUAAAUGCAAAGGUUUAAAAAUUAAGUCUGUUCGACUUUU
rnacentral:rRNA from 2 species